CAAGCGCGUGGAGCAUGUGGCUUAAUUUGACUCAACACGGGAAAUCUUACCGGGUCCGGACAUACCGAGGAUUGACAGACUGUUAACUGCAACACAAGCUGCUAAGUUUUAAACUUAAUAGCUCUUUCAUGAUUAUAUGAUAGGUGGUGCAUGGCCGUUCUUAGUUCGUGGAGUGAUCUGUCUGCUUAAUUGCGUUUCAAAAUUUAAACCUGAGCGACAAGGUGCUGCUAUCGAAACUGUCUUUGAGUGUGAACUAUAAGUCUUUUGACUUAUGACCAUCACUCUAGACGUUUAUGUUUUGGUGUUGGCCCUUGAUGCUCAUUUGAACGCAACGGACGUGAUUGCAACCCCUUGUUGAGAUUUAUCCGAUCUCUACGUUCACUGAACCACACUCUUUAGCGAGAGCAGUGGGGAUGUGGAUAAACUCGGGGGACUGCUGACUAUAAACUUUUCUCAAACCAGAGGAAGGUUGCGGCAAUAACAGGUCU
rnacentral:rRNA from 1 species